GAUCCUGGCUCAGGACGAACGCUGGCGGCGUGCUUAACACAUGCAAGUCGAACGAGAAUCUGUGGAUCGAGGAUUCGUCCAAGUGAAGCAGAGGACAGUGGCGGACGGGUGAGUAACGCGUGAGGAACCUGCCCUUCAGAGGGGGACAACAGUUGGAAACGACUGCUAAUACCGCAUGAUACGUUUUAGGGGCAUCCCUGAGACGUCAAAGAUUUAUCGCUGAAGAUGCCUCGCG
rnacentral:rRNA from 1 species